CCCAGUCUAAAUAGACAGCUCACAAAGUUUUGGGACGCAGCCUUUCGCUGCUCCUCAUUUACGCUCAUUAGAUCAGUCCACUCGCUAAUACUGGAGGAACUACAGCCUUUAAAAAUCAUUUCUACAGCUACAUGUCCAACUGACGCAACAAGACGGGAGUUUAGUGCUCAUAUGUGGAGUUUAUUUGGGAAUCUUGAGUGAUUUGAGCAGAACUGUUUUUAUGAUUUUACAUGCGCUAAUGUUAGCCUGUUAGCUCUUAAUCUCUCUUUAUAAACCUCCGUUCAAAUCAACAUGAAGAUCACUGUGGAUUUUGAAGAAUGUCUCAAAGAUUCACCCAGAUUCAGGGCGACAAUUGAGGAAGUUGAGGGCGACGUCAGUGAGCUUGAGUCCAAAUUAGACAAGCUGGUGAAGUUGUGCAUUGGAAUGAUUGAUGCUGGAAAGGCUUACAACACUGCGAACAAACAGUUUGUGAACGGGAUUCGAGAGUUAGCUCAGCAGUCUGCCAAAGAUGAUGUCAUCGAGAUUUCCGACCGAUUUGGAAGGCGUUACUGUAGUUGCACCCAGCUGCAAGGUGAUGUCGUGUUCAACAGCAGGGUUAGCUGGAAAGACAAGGAGUUCAGUCUUGGCUGGGUUGAGUUGCAGGUGGUGCUCCUUCAUUCAGGCCGAGAUGUCCACCAGUCCAGUCUUACCAAGUUUGCUGAGAGUCUUCAAGAGAUGAUCGGCUAUCACACAAUUUUGUUCGACCAAGCACAGCGAUCAAUCAAAUCACAACUGCUGACGUUUGUGCGAGAGGACCUUCGGAAGUUUAAAGAAGCUAAGAAACAAUUUGACAAAGUGAGCGAAGAGAAAGAGGCAGCUCUGUCCAAAAAUGCCCAAGCACCUCGCAACAAACAGCACGAGGUGGAUGAGGCCACCAACAUUCUGAAUGCCACACGCAAGUGCUUCAGACACGUCGUUCUGGACUACGUACUGCAGAUUAAUGUGCUCCAGUCCAAGAGACGAUCAGAAAUCCUCAAAUCGAUGCUGUCCUUCAUGUACGCCCACCUGACAUUCUUCCAUCAGGGUUAUGAUCUGUUCAGUGAACUACAACCCCUCAUGAAAACACUCACUGGACAGCUGGAUCAACUGGUGAUGGACUCAGCGAAAGAGAGGAAGGAUAUGGAGACCAAACACUCCACUAUACAACAGAAGGAGUUUGCGAAUGACGAGACCAAAUUGGAGUAUAAUGUGGAUGCAGAGAAUGGGAUCGUCAUGGAGGGAUAUCUGUUCAAGAGAGCCAGUAAUGCCUUCAAAACAUGGAACCGGCGAUGGUUCUCAAUUCAAAACAAUCAGCUAGUGUACCAGAAAAAAUUUAAGGAUAACCCUACUGUUGUGGUGGAUGACUUACGGUUAUGCACCGUCAAACACUGCGAGGACAUCGAACGCCGCUUCUGUUUCGAAGUUGUGUCUCCGACAAAGAGUUGUAUGAUGCAAGCGGACUCUGAAAAACUCAGACAGGCCUGGAUUAAAGCCGUCCAAAACAGUAUCGCUACAGCCUUCAGGGACAAAGCAGAGGACGCUGAGAAGAUGGACAGGAAGUCGUCUACAUCUACAGGCAGUCUGGAAUCAGGUGGAGAUACGAAGGAGAAGACUCUUAAAGGUGACGGCGCACUGCAGAGGGUGAUGGCUAUCGCUGGCAAUAGCACCUGCUGUGACUGUGGGCAACCUGACCCACAUUGGGCAAGCAUUAACCUGGGCAUCACUCUCUGCAUUCAGUGCUCGGGGAUACACAGGAGUCUUGGAGUUCAUUUCUCUAAGGUCAGAUCUCUGACACUGGACACAUGGGAGCCUGAACUGCUCAAGCUGAUGUGUGAGCUAGGAAAUGGUGUCAUUAAUCAAAUCUAUGAAUCACGCCGGGAAGAACUUGGAGCCAGAAAACCACAGCCAGGAGAUCCCAGGCAUGAGAUGGAGGCAUACAUCAAAGCCAAGUAUGUUGAGCGAAGGUUUGUCCAGAGACGGUCAGAAGAUAAGAUCAAAGAGAAGGUUUUAUCAUUGAGUAAUCCAGAUAAAGAUCUUAGUAGCUGCUCAGAAGCUCAGCCUACAAGACAACCAGCAACAUCAAAACCCCCACCUGCCUCUGGUUCCUCAGCCCAAAACGAGUCUCUCUUCUGUGUAGAUGAGCUUGACUCUCUCUUCUCCUACUUUAACACCUCCGCCAAACUGCGUAGUUUGAAAAGUGCUGAUGGUGAAACAAACAACCUCACUGAUGGAAGCAAAGAAAUGCUGAAUACAGCUGCUGCCUCCAACACGCUCAGUGACACGGAAGGCACAGAGUCGCACGUCACGGAUCCUCAGGCUGAAUGUUGUGGGAAAGAUGUGCUGGUGUUCUGUGAGCCGAAGCAGUUCACCGCAGGCCUGCAGCUGUACUGGGCAUCGUUCUCUCGCAGUCUGCCUGACAUGGCUGAAGCUCUCGCACAUGGAGCCGAGGUCAACUGGGCCAAUAUGGAUGAUGACAACAGAACGCCCCUCAUCAUGGCUGUACAUGGGGGAUCUCUGGUCACCUGUGAAUUUCUGCUGCAAAAUUCAGCCAGAGUGAACCAGCAAGACAAUCUAGGUAGAGGACCAUUACAUCACGCCACCAUACUGGGCCAUACGGGACAAGUGUGUUUAUUCCUGAAACGGGGAGCCAAUCAGAAUGCAGCAGACAUUGAGAAUAAAACACCACUGUCAACCGCAGUCGAGGCAGCAAAUGCUGAUAUUGUCACGCUGCUUCGACUGGCAAAGAUGAACGAGGAAAUGCGGGAAUCAGAGGGUCCGUACAGUCAGUCAGGUCAAUAUAACUCUAACAGCCCUACUGAGAUGCAGUACAGGAAGUGUAUGGAAGAGUUCAUUAGCUUACAGCUCAAAGACUCCUGAUACACAUACUGUACAUUAUUUGACCAAAUCACCAAAGCCUGCAGCAUAUGCACAAUAUCUGUGAAUUUACACAGCUCAAGCUUUAAUUUACCCCCGGAUGGGUUCAUAUAGUCUAGUAUUUUAAUGUAAAGCAUCUUAUUUAUAAACAUUAGUAGGUCAAAACUGCAAUAAAUAGUCUUGUGAAAGAUUGUAAACUAGUAUUGAACACAUAUACACCUUGUAUACAUUUGUCUGAAUGCAAUUACUGGCAGUCUUAUAUGGUAGCGUAUGGAAUUACUCUAUGCUCAAUGUGUGUAUCGGUAUAUUUGUGAUCAUUUUGACACAUUCCUGAUAUUUAUCACUUCAUUGAUGUUCUUCGGGGACAAGUUUUUAUUAAAUUUAAAAUGUACUGGUAUUUAUGAAAAUCAUUGCAUUUGCCCAUAAAUGAUAACAAUUACAGUAUUAUAAAUGCAUAACAUAAUAACAAAACAGAAAACACUUUUAGCUCAAUUAACUUAUUUUUUUUUUAAAUUAUUUAAAUAUAACAAUUUUAUCCACAGGAUAAUUGUCCAUUACCAAAAGUGAUUAACAUAAGAGACAUAUUUAGCAUGAACUGCAUAAAUAUAUAAAAAAAUAUUGUAUGUUGGAUAUAUUUAUUUAUUUAUUUCUUAAUGUGGAAUUAAAUUGCACUAAAAUUAUUAAUUUAUCAGAAAUGUUUUAAGGUGUAAAAACAGGAGAAAAAAACUAUAAAAUAUGUUUGGAUUAAUCAAGUAGUUGUGAGGCAUUAGCUGUUACACUAGUGAUUGUAGUUAAGUAUGUUUAGCAACAGAUGGGUGCUGUAAAGCAGGCCUUUACACCCACUGCUGGAUGGAUCUGGUGAAGUAUCAAAUCGUUGUGGCAAAAAUGUUGACCUGCAAUUUAUCUGUGAUCUGAAAUAUAAUCUCCUAAACUGCAGUCUUUCAGCAUAUCAUCCUCGUGGCAUCUUUCUUAAAUGUGACGAAGUCCCUUUCGAUUACAGGAUUAUUCAGUUUCUUGAUGCAAAUUGUACAUAUGAGAUCUGUAUAUAAAAAGCAUGAAACACAGUUGAAUGUAUAUUUCUGAGCAGCUGUCUUUCUGUCUCACUUUGUCACAGUUAUUCUAUUACUGUAAUGCAACUAUUUGGCAAUUUCUGUAAAAAAGACAUAAUUUAAAGAAACAUUCAGGGUUCAGUACAAGUUAAGUUCUAUCAACAGCCUUUGUGAUGUACUGUUAAAGGUGCUGUAAGCAAUUUUAGCCAUUCUCGAAUUUCCCUAAACUGAGCCGUUGCAUUAGCCACGGCCCCUUUUUUCAAAACCCCGCACUCCAAAGUUACCAAAUUAACUUUAUUAAAGGGUUAGUUCACCCAAAAAUGAAAAUUCUCUCAUGAUUGACACCUUGAAGCAAUCCCAGAUGUGUAUGUCUUUCCUUCUUCAGCAGAACCGAAGUGAAGAUUUUUAUAAGCACAUUUCAGCUCUGUUUGUCCGUACAAUGCAAGAAAACGGGUGCCAUCAGGCUGCUGGCUGUUUGACGGUUCAAAAGGCAUAUUUAGGCAGCAUAAAACACGACUCCAGUCGAUCAAUUCAUAUCUUCAAAUGGAUAGGUUUGUGUAAAAAAAAAAGAAAUCGAUAAUUAAAACUUUAUUAACUUUUUAAAAAAAAAAUUGCUUCCUGCCAGCAGUCGUCGCAUCAGUGGCAUAAGCACAAUUGCAUGUUCACGCGAGAAGUCGGAAGCGUGCUCUUUGUUUAUAACAGAGGAACGAACGUCACGCCAUUUCAAACAGCAGUACAGUGCUGGCUGGAAGCAACGAUUUAAAGUUAAAAACGUUUUCAUUAUCGAUUUGUUUCUUACACCAAACUAUCGGUUUGCUUCAAAAGACUGGAGUCGUGUGGAUUACUUUUAUGCUGCCUAAAUAUGCCUUUUGAACUGUCAAACAGCCAGCAGCCAGAUGGCACCCAUUCACUUGCAUAGUAUGACUUUCCUUCUUCAGCAGAACCGGAAUGAAGAUUUUCAUAAGCACAUUUCAGCUCUGUAUGUCCAUACACAUCUGGGAUGGCUUAAAGGUGAGUAAUUCGCUGCAACUACAAUACUAUGAGAACGUGCAAAAUGAUUGACAGACAGAAAGUGUCAUUGUCCGUGGCCCACGGACACAGUUUUGUUUGCUGUUUACAUUCUAGAGCUGACACAAAGACCAAUAUCUCAGGACACUUUUUUUAGUAAUUUCUUUCAGGGAGUAGUACAUUUUUUUGCAUUCCUUUCCAGCACAAAAGAAACAGACGCAAAACAUAUCUGAAGUUAAUGGUCUCUUGUCACCGCUGCCGUUAAAUGCAGAGCAUUUUUAUAUACAAUAAACUGAAUGAUGAAUCGAAGUAAUUUUUUGUGGCAAUCAACAUUAUUCCACAAUUGCUGUCAAAAGAGUUAAACUUGUAUUGAACCCAGUAAAUCCAUUUAGACCUUCACACUUUACCAAACAGUUCUUGACAGUAUUUCAUAAGAAUGUAUUUUAUGGUGUUUCAAUUUAGUAAAUGGUCAGAGAGAUCAGAUCCAAGUGUAAAUAAAUCUACUUCAUAUACCAUAGUUUAUGUAAUGUGCUUUUCAUCUCUUCAUUUCCUCAUUUCUCUCCUGCAUUCUGCUAAACUCUUGAGUUUCUCAUCUGAAGUACUGCAGGAGAUGAAACAUACCAGGACAUUUUCCAAGAUUUUACCCAGUUGGCAUCAAAUGACCCAGACAAAUUCAACCGCUUCUGAACACAUGAAUAAACCUUCAAUAGUAUAGCACACCACGCCAACCUCCUCAUAAAUGCAGUUGGGUAAUGCAUUUUUUAAGAAAUAUGUGUUUUUAUUGGAUUCGCUACAGAAUAUUGCCUAUAAUAUAAAGUAUAAAAUGUACUCAUUAGUUGGUGAUAUGUUUUUGAAAUGUAAUAUUUGUUUUCCUUAUUAAAUUGAGUAUUAAUUCUCUGAUUAGCAUUAUCUGUCAGAUUGUAAUUAUAAAUAUAAGAUGUCUUAUAUAGAUUUUUUUCCUGUAUUCAAUAUCUGCCCACAUGGUAAUUUGGGUGACAAAUUAUAUUGCACUCAGACCAGAUGAAAUGUAAUGUGCUGCGUUAUUGACUUUUUAUUGUAAAUUACGAUAAAAUAUUUUAUAUAGAUUUUCAUUCCUAGCUUUUUCGAUAUUGACUUAUCUAUUGAUUCUCAGAUGAACAGCGAGUAAUGGGAGUAUUUGUUUGAGCCAUUGGAUGUAAUAAGCCUCAUUCAUGAAACGCACUGAACAGAUUUGUGUAAAUCGUUCCUGCUUACAAAAACUGUCACAUUAAAUUAAAUGCAAAAUUUUACGUACAACAAGAAUAUUUUUAUGAAUGAUUUGCACAGAAAUGCAUUCUGCUUGUGUAAAUCAUUUGUAAACCCGUGUGAAUUGCAUGCAACAUUUUUCGUAAUAAAUGGUUUACAUUUACACAAUUUACACAAAUUCUGUAAUCCCAAUUUCUUACAAAUGAUUCACACAGAAAUUUGCUCUGAUCAUGUAAAUCAUUUUUAAAACUGUUCUUACAUAAAUUAUGGGAUUCAAUUCAAGAAUGGUUUAUCUAACUAUUUACAAAUUUUCUGAUUGUGUUUUAUGAAUGAUGGCCAUUUUUAGUUUUUGUAAAUAGCAAUUUAAGAGGAAUAUUAAAUUAAGUUCACAUAGUAUCACAAUUCCAAAAACUACAUUUACUGUACUGUAUGUUCAUUGUGCUCUCAGCAUGUUUUUAUAUGCUUAAUUGCUGUCUGAUGAUGUGGCGCUGUUAUUGCACAUUUUUGAAAGAGAUCUUACAAAACUCGUUGCAUUUUACAUGUGAACCCCAUCCCAAUUACUUAUAAGUAAAAACAGUAUACAGUGAAACAUAAUCAUACCACAAUGUAUUGGGAUGUAAAUUGUGUAUAUUCUGUAUAUUCUGUACAUACAUCAUCUUGGGCUGGGUAGUUUAUUUUGUGGUACUUUAAAUAUUUUGAUAUUGCUUUUGUGUAAUUUUGUUUCAGUUUUUUAUUCAACAUUCUGUAUUUCUUUCAGUCUGUAUGAUUCAAGCAAUUUGACAAUAUUUGACUGAAAAUAUCUUAAGAUAUAUUAUAAAUUGUUUUCGCAGUUAUUUUUAUAAAGCAUUUUUCUUUGUUUGA